UCCCAAUGGUCUUUAAACAGAAUAUACAAUGAAGCGUUUUCAGAUCCGCGUAAGCAUAGCUUUGACACACAAAAUCUGUGAUUUAAUUAGAAUGGUGUCUAAAUGAACAUAAAAACACUGCAUUUAUUUAUUGUUUACUGAGGCCUGGUGGUCUCUGUCAGAUAGAUAGUUGUGUUUACAAAAUUUAAUGGGACUUUUAAUAUUUUGCGUUUAUCUUUAAAACUACAAUAGAUUAAAAAAAAUAGUGCAAUGUGUCUGAAAAGAUUCUAUGGCAAAUUGUAAGGUCCCAUUUGGUCAAUUUUGGCUCUUGUCUGUUUUGUUGUUUUAUUGACUAUUAUCGUGUUAACUUAUUUAUAGAUAAACGUUGUCUUAUUCAAAUGGUAUAGACAAGAACAGAUUGAAAAAUAAGUAAAUUAUAAUUAUUGUCAUUUUCAUCAUUGGUAGUAGGGACAUGGUAGGAAACAUUGGAAUCCUCUAUUUUUUUCCAAGUCAUUACCUUGAAUUAGAAAAUAAACAAUCAAGACCGCUUUCAAAAGACAUAAACUUUUCACCCUUCUCCCAAAAAAAACCCCACCAAAGAACAAUAAAACACAACUUUCUCAAUACUUUGGUUCGUAAUAACAAAAAAACGCAUAACAUUUCUGAUGAAUUAUCAGUUAAAAAUAGCACGUCAAUGUUGGAUCUGGAACUUCAAAUUUGGAAGUUGUUUGUGGCCAUGGAACUUAUUUGGUCUCAUUGAUAUGUACCACUCCUUCAUUCAUUAUUAUUAUUUUUAGAUGAAACAUACUCUGCUAGAGGAAAUUAAUUGUUGUAAAUAAGGAUCUAGAUUUUGACAUGUGAGACAGGGGAGCUAGGCGUAGAAAUUGACGUCUUUCGAGUCAAAACUAUUAUUUUUACUGGGGGUGGGGGAGAGUACGAUGAGAGUCAAACCUUUAACAGGUAAGACAAUCAUAGGUUUGUGACACAAAAUUAAUGUGGUUUAAACUUUUCUAAAGUUGAAAUUGGACAAUUACCUAUUAUAUUGUCUAAUAUCCGAAAUGUAAAAGUUUUCCUAGAUUUAGCAUAUCAAAGAACCCAAAGAAUUGCUUGUUCUUGGUCCCGUUUUGACCCCUAAUUUCUGAAAGUUAUUACCUGGCAACAAAGUAUUUUUUUUUAAUAUCAAAACGAUUUAUAUAAUGUUGUAAGACAAUGUUACAACUCUUAUCAGAAGAUUAACUUCCUUAUUACAACAUUGUACGUCCUUCAAAUAUAUACAUUUUUAUUAAUAGUUCUCACAUUUGUUAGUGGAUACAUCAAAUACCGGUACCUUAUCCCAGCCUCGUUAACCGUUUUCUGUAAAACAUAUGUUUAUAAAUUAUAAUAUAAUCCAACUAAUUGUCUAGUCAAUUACAAAUAGAAAAAAAAUACAAUAUAAGCAUAUAUAAUUGCAAAUCAUUCACAUUGAUAAUUACGUAAUUUUGUUACGUAUUUGACCUUAACUUUUACAUCCUCAUUAUUGGAUACAAUCUACCUGACACAUAUUGUUCGUUUAGAACAAUCGUGCAUGUGUCUUAGUGCGAUCAAAUAAUCGUAACCUGACAUGAUUGAAGGAUAAUAUAGUUCAUGUGUUAAUCUUUUCGCUUUUGGAUUAUUAUCAAAAGGUAAAAUAUAAUAUGUCUAUUAUUAUCGAAAUAUGAAUGUAUUGUCUUUCCCCAUAAUAUGUACCUUAUUAUGUUUUGAUUUAAAGUGUAAGAAUAGGUGUAAUUUAAGGGUUUUUCUUUACGGCCGCUGAGGUGUCAAUUUUUAUUUUGCAUUUGUAGUAUUUAAUUUUAAAGAUACUGGAGUGAUUAUUUUCUACGUUAUGUUUCGAAACUAUAUAUAAAUAUUAUGUUUACAUAUUUUAUUCUCUAACUGUUUAAAGAAAUUUUUGAAACAUGCGAAUUAGAUUACUUUUACGUUUUUUUACACAUCUGUUUACCUCAAAAUAUAAUUCAAAUUCUUUUUUGAAGAGGUUGUAUAUGUCGGCGGAUUUUGUUCUUUGUCCCGACGUGUAAAAUGAUUUGUAAAUUGAGAAACCUAUCAACGUUAUAAUAAGAUUUAUGUCAUUAUAAUGUCACUCUCCUAUUUUAUAUCCUAAGACUAUAUCUAUUAAGUUUAUUUUCUUACAGAAGUUUAUGAUAUUCAUUUUAUCUGUUAUUUUAUUCCACAAGUCUUUUAAAAAUCGAUAAAAAAAAUGUUGAUAAUUGUCUAUGCAUUUGCAUAAAGCAAACUCUGACGUAUUAGAUAUUUUCCAUUUGAAAAGAUUUUCUGUGUUCGGCAAUAUAUAGCUAAAUAAUUUCCAUUUAUAAACUUUAAGUUCGUUUGUGUAUAUUUCUUUGUUUGUAAAUGAUCAGGAGUGUCUAAUUUGUAAUGGUUUUGCGCCUAAUAUUCUUUGCCAUUUUUUUAUUCCAAUGUUUGAAGUUAUUUUGUUUUUUAUAAAAUAUUGAUAGACGGCUUUGUUAUCAAGAUCUGCUUAAUUUAUUUCUGUUUCAUUCAUUCUGAUUAUUUUUUCGUUAAUACAAACUCGAUUUAUUUGUUUUCAGGAUAUCUAUCCAACAUUUGGGAAUAGCUUUUUUUAGUAUUGAUAGUUCGGCUAUCCAGUUGUGUUUUAUUUCUAAUUUAUGCAGUAUUGUCUUGUCGUUGAUUUGACCGUUUUCGUCAAUAAUUUCAUUAUUAUAGAUUAUAUUGCUUUUGAUCCAAUUUAGCAUCAACAAUGGUUUAAUUUUAAUUUUUAUGUUUUUAUUACCCCAUAUAAUUUUCUUUGCGUAUUUCUCUAAAAUUAGUGGGUGAUUUAGUUUGACCUCCACCUUUCCGUAUCCAGCAUUUUACAAUAUCCAGAUAAAAUUCUGGUAAUUCAGUUGUAAUUUUAAUUGGUUUUAAUUUUUUAAGUUCUAAAUUCAUUUUGAAGAUAAGGAAGUUUUUUCUGUAUUUAUCAAAAAGAAUCUCGGAAUAAUUGACCAAUUUUCAUGUUUUGACUCCAUUAAUCUUGAUACCCAUUUAAUUUUAAUUGUAUUAAAGUAGCUGUCGAUAUCUAUUAUAUUGAGUCCUCCUGUACUGUAAUCUGCUAUUAGAGUUGACUUUUUUAAUUUGUCUUGUUUACCGUUCCAAAUGAAAUUAAAAAGUUCUCUUUCUAGAUUGUCGCUAUACGUUUUAUUUAUGACUGUCAUACUUGCUACGUAUGUGAAUUGUGGAAUAAUAAGGGGUUUGAUUAUAAGAAGUUUACCGAUGAUAGUAAGAUGUCUUUUUCCCAAGAUUUUAUGAGUUUUUGUGCUUUUUUAAACUUAUUUUCCCAAUUUAGUUUUGCGCAUUUUGCUUUAUUUGUGCCGAAAUACAAUUCUAACACUUUAACGGGUUUAUCUGUGAAUUUUGUAUUAUCUACUUUAUCUUUACAAUGUUUUAGUUUUCCUAUCCAAAUACCUUCCGUUUUGUUUUUAUUUAAUUUAAGACCAGAAAAUGUGCCAAAAUAUUUUCAAUAACGUUUAAUGCUGCUAUAAUAUCAUUUUUUGAUUUAAGAAACAGAGUGGUAUCAUCUGCUAACUGGGAAAUUUUCAAAUUAUGUUUUGAAUGGUCAAGUCUGAUUUCAAAAUCUUUAAUGUUAUAAUCAUUCCUUAAUUUACAUGUCAUGAUUUCAACUGCGAUCACGAAGAUCACGGAAGAGCAGGUGCAUCCUUGACGCACCCCCCUUUUUAGACUAAUUGGUGCAGCAAUCCAUCCAUUAUUGAACACUGAGCUAUUUAUAUCAGAAUAUAACGUCUUGAUCCAGUUAAUAAAUGAACUAUUAAAGCCGAAAUGUUGGAGAGUUUGCUACACAAAGAUCCAUUUUUAAGUAUCAAAUGCUUUGAAAAGUCUAGAAACAAAAUUGCACCUUCAACAUUAAAUUUGUCGGCGUAAUCUAUGAUGUCUUGUAUUUGUCUGAGACUGAAGCCAAUACAUUGUUUUUUAUAUAUCCUGUUUGGUCUGCAUUUAUUAUUAAAUUUAGUACAUUUUUUAUUCUUUGAGCUAAUGUGUAAUAUAGUAUUUUAUAGUCUGAGUUUAAUAAGGAGAUUGGCCUAUAAUUUGAAAGAUCUAGUGGAUCAUUCUUUUUGUAUAUAAGAUUAAGGAUACUUUGUCUUUGAGAAAAUGGUAGCUUUUGCCUGUCGUAGCUUGUAUCAAAGAUGUUAACAAGAAUUAGGCCUAAUGAUUGCCAAAACUUCUUAUAGAAAUGUUUUGUGAUACCAUCUUUACCUGGUCUUUUAUUGGGUUUUAAAAUAUUUACUGCUAGUUUUAAUUUUUCUAUUGUAACAUAUCCGUCACACGUCUGACUUUCAUGUUUUGAUAAUUUAUUUUUUAUUUCGGUACUGUUAAUAUAUUCCCAUGAUUGGGCAAUGUUUUCAUUUUCUUUUGAAUGAAGUUUUUUGUAAAAUUCUUUUCAAUUUGAAGUAUUUCACUUUUAUCCGUAACAAUAUUUCCUUGGUCAUCUUUUAGUUUUACUAUUGUUUUUUUUGUUUGUUUAUUUUUUCUAGGCCUAAAAAGUAAGCUGUAUUUUUUUCGCUUUUUUCUUCCCAAUCUUGUUUCAAUCUUAAUUGGGCGCCUUAAGAUUUAUAUUCAUAAUGUUUUCUAACUGGUUUUCAAUUUGAUUUAUUUUUUGCAAAAAAUCGUUGUUUUCAUUUUUCUGAUAUUUUUCAGUUAAGAUUGUUAAUUUUUUUCCCAUUUGCUUUAUUUCAUUUUUUUUUAUUGUAAGCUCUACUUUUGCAAUAAUUUAUUGUAAACAGUUUAAUAUCAAGUUUAAUGGCGUCCCAAAGAAGAUGCACAUCCGUAGUGAUGUCUUGCAUGAUGGUUUUGUAUUUAGCAAUUAUUAUUUCUAUUUCUUUACAAUAUUCAUUUUCUUCUAAAAUAGAAUUAUUUAAUUUCCAGUAUCCUGGACCUCUACUUUCGGCCGUUACGCUUUAUAAUUUAAGAGACACGCCUUGGUGGUCUGUGCUUUUUAUUAAUGCGGGCAACAAAGUAUUUACGGACAAAGAACACAUCGCCAAAACAUUAUACCGCGGCAAAUAUAUAACUAUCAACAAUUGAAUACCACCAUUCUAUAAAACAAAAUCAAAAUUAAAGGCUCCCUUAACUUCUCCUAUCCCCACUUUAUGGGGUUUGCAAAUGACCGGUCCACUAUAUUAGAAAUAACCAUAUCACUGUCUGAUUUUUGUCCAUUUUUGUGUCUUUCUUUAGAAAAGUGGUGUAUAAAGAGAAACUUCCAAAGCUUAAAUGGUCAGUCAAGCAAACUUUACAUAAAAAUAAAAAACGGGAAAUUCAUGUAUUUCUUUCUUAAAAAAACCCGCUAACGCUUAGUAUAAAAACAAGCCUAGUACAAGGAGCAUAGUGCAUGGCAUUAAAGAAUCAUUUCUUUAAUUUAAUAACUUUAACUGUAUGCUCAUUAUUGUAGACCCCGUAUGAUCAUUAUUAAAGACCAAUCGAUUAAAACUUAACUUUUCAAUUCAUAAGCUCAUAAUUUUCCAAUAAUAUCUGGUGUGAUUUUUUUCAUUUUAAAUCGAGGAACAACCAUGUCAAGGUUUUUCUCCUUUUAAACCUAGAACAUUUUCCAAAUGAUAGCUACAGAUUUGUUCUGAGUUAAUAUGAAUUGCGCAGAAGCAGAUCGGAAUCAGGUAUGACGUAAACAGUAAUCAUUCUAAUCGUAAUCAUGUUCAUUGACCAUAAUGACGAUGAAAGCACAUCAUAUGAUGACGUUUCGACAUCAUAUAAUGAAGUUAACCUUACCACAUGAUAUAAGAUUACAAGCAAUUAACAAAAUGACACACCCACACAUAAAGAUGUUUACACAAAAUAUAAGGGAAAAUGCACAUCAUAUAAGGAUUUUUGCACAUCAUAUACGUACAUUUUCACAUCAUAUACGUAUAUUUGCACAUCAAAAAAGGAUAUUUGCACAUCAAAAAAGGAUAUUUGCACAUCAUAUAAGAAUGUUUGCACAUCAUAUAAGUACAUUUGCACAUCAUAUAAGGAUGUUUGCACAUCAUAUAAGGAUGUUUGCACAUCAUAUAAAUAUUUAUGCACAUCAUAUAAAUAUGUAUGCACAUCAUAUAAAUAUGCAUGCACAUCAUAUAAGUAUAUUUGCACAUCAUAUAAAGAUGUUUAGACAUCAUAUUAAUAAUUUCUCAUAAUAUAAGCACAUUUGAACGUCAUAUAAAGGUGUUUGCACAUCAUAUAAUGACAGGUGCACAUCAUAUAAAGGUGUUUGCACAUCAUAGAAUGACAAGUGCACAUCAUCUAAAGGUGCUUGCACAUCCUAUAAUGACAAGUGCACAUCAUAUAAAGGUGUUUGCACAUCAUAUAAUGACAAGUGCACAUCAUAUAAAGGUAAAUGCACAUCCUAUAAUGACACGUGCACAUAAUAAAAAGGUAAAUGCACAUCAUAUGAAGGUAAAUGCUCAUUAUAUGAUGAAAAUGGUCACCACAAGGCAUUUUUGGCGUUCCAUAGUUGUAGUUUGUUGAUUUGUUACAUACCUGUACCGGUAUUUGUUUUUCGUUCAUUUUCGUACAUAAAUUGUUCCGUUAGGUUUCUCGUUUAAUAUUUUACAUUUGUCAUUUCGGGGCAUUUUAUAACUGACUAUGCGGUAUGGGCUUUGUUCAUUGUUGAAGGCCGUACGGCGACCUAUAGUUGUUAAUUUCAGUGUCAUUUGAUGUCUUGUUGAGAGUUAUCUCAUUGGUAAUCAUAUCUCAUCGUCUUUUGUUUUUUAUUACAUCAAUUUUCCGCUCGACGUCAAGCUUGUAUUUAUAAUCAAGCAAGUGAAGCUGUGGAAUAAAUGCAUGACAACAUAAUAUAAAGAUGCACGCAAAUGUUAUGCACCGAGUUAAAAUUCAUCCCAUAUCUCCUUUAAUUCAUUGUUUAAGUGGUAUCGGUAGCCGAGUGGUCCAAAUAUCUAGCAUGUCAACACUUAAGUUGUGAGUCCGAAUCCGGCACGUGGCAGGUAAGGACUAAUCUUAAUGGAAUAGAAUUAUUAGUUUUGUCUACCAAAAGUCGGUGGUUCUCUCCGGGGACUUCGGCUUCUUCAAUCAAUAUAAACUCACCGCCACGAAUUGGCGUGAUAGUGUUGAAAGUGGCGUUUUACACAAAUCUAUCUAUCAACAAAUUAGUCAACCAAUCAUCCCUUAAUGAAUACUUAUGCAAGAGUAGAACAUUUUGUAGCUGUUGUUAUGGAAUAUUUUUAAAAUUGACUUUGAGUUCAUUGGUGUCUUUUGCAAUGAAUAGAAAUAAAACAAUAUGAUAUGCGUGCCAAAAUGACAACUCUAAAUCUAAAUCAUAAUGUGAAAAAUGUAAACAAUUAUAGGUCAAAUUACGGCUAUAAAUAAGAGACUCCAAAAUUUGUUUUAUCAUAUUUUCGCCGCAGCCGGGAAAUUCUUCAACUAGCUCCUAUAUAAAUUGAUCUUCAUCUUCCUUCGAAAUGUUUGAAACUAUAACUUUUGUUAAAUUGCACUGAGUCUGUCUCACUUUAUCUUAAAAAUACACUCUCGCUUGCGACAGCAACAGAUUUAGGAAUUAUUUCUUAAACUUAAUGACUUUAACUGUAUGCUCAUUAUUGUAGACCCCGUAUGAUCAUUAUUGUAUACCCAUCGAUUUUUUUUUCAUCUUAAAUCGAGGAACCAACACGUCAAGGUUUUUCACUUUAAUCGCAACUAUUUUCAAAAUGAUAGCUACAGAUUUAAGACAGGUUUAUAAUAAUUCCGCAGAAGCAGAUCGGAAUCAUUUAUGACGUAGACAGUAAUCAUUAUAAACGUAAUCAUGUUUAUUGACCAUAGCAACGAUAAAAGCACAUCAUAUAAUGACGUUUCGACAUCAUAUGAUGAAGUUUACCGAACCACGUGAUAUAAAAUUACAAGCAGAUAGUAUAAUGACACAACCACAUCAUAUAAAGAUGUUUGCACAUAAUAUAAAGGAAAAUUCACAUCAUAAAAUGAUGUUAGCACAUCAUAUAAGGAUGUUAGCAAAUCAUAUAAGUUUAUUUGCACACCAUAUAAGGAUAUUUUCACAUCAUAUAAGUAAAUUUUCACAUAAUAUAAGAAUGUUUGCACAUCAUAUUAGUACAUUAGCACAUCAUAUAAGUAUUUAUGCACAUCAUAUAAGUAUAUUUGGAUAUAGUAAUAGAUGUUUGGACAUCAUAUAAAGAUGUUUGGACAUCAUAUAAUGACAAGUUCACAUCAUACUAUGACAAGUACUAAUCAUAUAACGACAAGUACUUAUCGUAUAAUGACAAGUACUUAUCAUAUAAUGACAGGUACACAUCAUAUAAUGACAAGUAUUUAUCAUAUAAUGACAAGUUCACAUCAUAUAAUGACAAGUACACAUCAUAUUAUAACAAGUACACAUCUUAUAAAGAUAAAUGCACAUCAUAUAAUAAAAAUGGUUCAAAUAAUACAGUUUUGGCGUUCCAUUCAUUUCAAACUAUACGUUGUAAAACAAUUCGAACAACUAUAACUGUAUUCUUAGUUGUUGAUUAUUUUUGUAAAACAAUUGAAUGAAUCAAUUAUAAAGUAUGCACUGUUUUCCUUUAUACAUUGAUUUCUUACCUUAUCACUAUACAAUUAUUGUAUAUUUUUAUUAUAAAUUUCAGACGAAUGUUUAACCUCGUCGAAUUAUGUCACAAAAGAGGAAGCAAAAUGUUGACGACUUUUCUAACAGGUAGAUUCGAAUGAUCGUUAUAAAAAACCGAAACAUCAAUAUCAAGAUAAUCAAUUGUACCAUUACUCUACCUAAUAUAACGGCACUGUGUGGUUGUUUUUAAUUUUGCUAAAA
rnacentral:lncRNA from 1 species